GGCCGGAUGGUGUAGUUGGUUAUGUAAGUCCACACACGCUGUCUUUCCCUCUCUUCAAUCACUAACAAUCUUGACAGCACGAUCCCUUUACAAUUGAAUCUUCAGAUCAUUUCGAACGGGGUAGGUCCAGGGUUCGAGCCCCUGUCUGGUCA